GUGGGGAAUAUUGCACAAUGGGCGCAAGCCUGAUGCAGCGACGCCGCGUGAGGGAUGGAGGCCUUCGGGUUGUAAACCUCUUUUAUCGGGGAGCAAGCGAGAGUGAGUUUACCCGUUGAAUAAGCACCGGCUAACUACGUGCCAGCAGCCGCGGUAAUACGUAGGGUGCAAGCGUUAUCCGGAAUUAUUGGGCGUAAAGGGCUCGUAGGCGGUUCGUCGCGUCCGGUGUGAAAGUCCAUCGCUUAACGGUGGAUCCGCGCCGGGUACGGGCGGGCUUGAGUGCGGUAGGGGGGACUGGAAUUCCCGGUGUAACGGUGGAAUGUGUAGAUAUCGGGAAGAACACCAAUGGCGAAGGCAGGUCUCUGGGCCGUUACUGACGCUGAGGAGCGAAAGCGUGGGGAGCGAACAGGAUUAGAUACCCGAGUAGUCC
rnacentral:rRNA from 1 species